rnacentral:rRNA from 1 species
GUAAUAUAUCGGAACGUGCCUAGUAGUGGGGGACAACCAGUCGUAAGAUUGGCUAAUACCGCAUACGCACUUUGGUGGAAAGCGGGGGACCGUAAGGCCUCGCGCUAUUGGAGCGGCCGAUAUCAGAUUAGGUAGUUGGUGGGGUAAAGGCCUACCAAGCCUACGAUCUGUAGCUGGUCUGAGAGGACGACCAGCCACACUGGGACUGAGACACGGCCCAGACUCC